rnacentral:rRNA from 1 species
GACGUAGGGCGCGAGCGUUGUCCGGAUUUAUUGGGCGUAAAGAGCUCGUAGGCGGCUUGUCGCGUCGACUGUGCAAACCCGUGGCUCAACCAUGUGGUCUGCAGUCGAUACGGGCAGGCUAGAAUUCGGUAGGGGAGACUGGAAUUCCUGGUGUAGCGGUGAAAUGCGCAGAUAUCAGGAGGAACACCGGUGGCGAAGGCGGGUCUCUGGGCAGUUCCUGACGCUGAGGCACGAAGGUCAGGGGAGCAAACGGG